rnacentral:rRNA from 1 species
GACGAACGCUGGCGGCGUGCCUAACACAUGCAAGUCGAACGGAGAAUUUUAUUUCGGUAGAAUUCUUAGUGGCGAACGGGUGAGUAACGCGUAGGCAACCUGCCCUUUAGACGGGGACAACAUUCCGAAAGGAGUGCUAAUACCGGAUGUGAUCAUUGUGCCGCAUGGCAGGAUGAAGAAAGAUGGCCUCUACAAGUAAGCUAUCGCUAAAGGAUGGGCCUGCGUCUGAUUAGCUAGUUGGUAGUGUAACGGACUACCAAGGCGAUGAUCAGUAGCCGGUCUGAGAGGAUGAACGGCCACAUUGGGACUGAGACACGGCCCAAACUCCUACGGGAGGCAGCAGUGGGGAAUCUUCCGCAAUGGACGAAAGUCUGACGGAGCAACGCCGCGUGAGUGAUGAAGGAUUUCGGUCUGUAAAGCUCUGUUGUUUAUGACGAACGUGCAGUGUGUGAACAAUGCAUUGCAAUGACGGUAGUAAACGAGGAAGCCACGGCUAACUACGUG